rnacentral:rRNA from 1 species
CGGGUGAGUAACACGUAUCCAAUCUGCCGUCUACUCUUGGACAGCCUUCUGAAAGGAAGAUUAAUACAAGAUGGCAUCAUGAGUCCGCAUGUUCACAUGAUUAAAGGUAUUCCGGUAGACGAUGGGGAUGCGUUCCAUUAGAUAGUAGGCGGGGUAACGGCCCACCUAGUCUUCGAUGGAUAGGGGUUCUGAGAGGAAGGUCCCCCACAUUGGAACUGAGACACGGUCCAA